UCCAGAAGAAGAAGGAGGUGAUUCAGAAGAUUGAUUUUUGCUGGAAUCCACCAUUAAAGACACAAGGGACAACUGAACCAAGAUGAUGAAAAAAAGCAGAAAGAGGGGAGAAAGGAAACUAUCCUGCUACAGCAUAAUAAGAAGAGAGAAGAUGGUGAUUCUUUGAGAGAUGAAGAUAAUUAUUUGAAAGAAAAUCGCCGACAAACCAAAAAACCCUCGUGAAAAAAGUCAGGAAGAGA
rnacentral:lncRNA from 1 species